CGCUCCAGGCGGGAAUCGAACCGCACGUCUUGCUCUCCCGACGUUGUGCUACCGAUUACACCACCGGGAC